rnacentral:rRNA from 1 species
AACGAACGCUGGCGGCAUGCCUAACACAUGCAAGUCGAACGAGACCUUCGGGUCUAGUGGCGCACGGGUGCGUACCGCGUGGGAACCUGCCCUUAGGUUCGGAAUAACUCCCCGCAAGGGGUGCUAAUACCGGCUAAUGUCUUCGGACCACAGAUUUAUCGCCUUUGGAUGGGCCCGCGUUGGGUUAGCUAGUUGGUAGGGUAAAAGCCUACUAAGGCGACGUUCCAUAGCUGGUCUGAGAGGAUGAUCAGCCAAACUGGGACUGAGACACGGCCCAGACUCGUACGGGAGGCAGCAGUGUGGAAUAUUGGACAACGGGCGAAAGCCUGAUGGAGCAAUGACGCGUGAGGGGUGAAGGGAUUAGUGUUGUAAAGCUCUUUUACCCGGGAUGAUAAUGACAGUACCGGGAGAAUAAGCCCCGGCUAACUCCGUG